UACGAAGGGGGCUAGCGUUGCUCGGAAUCACUGGGCGUAAAGCGCACGUAGGCGGCUUUCUAAGUCAGGGAUGAAAUCCUGGAGCUCAACUCCAGAACUGCCUUUGAUACUGGGAAGCUCGAGUCCGGAAGAGGUGAGUGGAACUCCGAGUGUAGAGGUGAAAUUCGUAGAUAUUCGGAAGAACACCAGUGGCGAAGGCGGCUCACUGGUCCGGUACUGACGCUGAGGUGCGAAAGCGUGGGGAGCAAAUAGG
rnacentral:rRNA from 1 species